rnacentral:misc_RNA from 1 species
GUUUUAAUUUUUAAAGGCUGAUAGGCCCAACAAAUAACAUUCUGUUACAAUUGAAAGGGGUAUAGGUUGAAUCAUAGACCUCGGCUACGAGAAUAGCACAGAGCUUUCCUCCAGUAUCCAAGAUCUACACAAGGUGCACAGGUGGUUGAAUAUGGCGUGGGCGUGCACAUGCUCCUAAAAGCCAGCAACAACCCAACCAAAUGUAUUCAAUAAUGAUCCUUCCGCAGGUUCACCUACGGAAA